GGAGGAAAGCAGGGGAUCGUAAGACCUUGCGUUAAUGGAGCGGCCGAUAUCUGAUUAGCUUGUUGAUGAGGUAAAGGCUCACCAAGGCGACGAUCAGUAGCUGGUUUGAGAGAACGACCAGCCACACUGGAACUGAGACACGGUCCAGACUCCUACGGGAGGCAGCAGUGGGGAAUUUUGGACAAUGGGGGCAACCCUGAUCCAGCCAUUCCGCGUGAGUGAAGAAGGCCUUCGGGUUGUAAAGCUCUUUCGCAAGGGAAGAAAACUUAUGAUCGAAUAAAUCAUGAGGUUGACGGUACCUUGAUAAGAAGCACCGGCUAACUACGUGCCAGCAGCCGCGGUAAUACGUAGGGUGCGAGCGUUAAUCGGAAUUACUGGGCGUAAAGCGUGCGCAGGCGGUUUUGUAAGUCGGAUGUGAAAUCCCCGGGCUCAACCUGGGAACUGCGUUUGAAACUACAAGGCUAG
rnacentral:rRNA from 1 species